GACACUUGUUAUUUUGAUCCAUAGAAAUUGAAGAUGAAUCUGAAAUGCCUGAACCUUCUUGAGAACAUGAAACAAUAUUGUGAUUAUUUAUCAAAUUAGAACCCAAUUCAGAUACAUUAUCCAUGACUCCAGCAGUAUAAGAAAAUUGAUCAACUGGGUCUAGACUCAAGCUUUGAGCAGUAUUGAGAAGAUGUUGAUCAUAACCAGCAUCAGAGGAAAUGGGCAAUGUUACUGAACUUUGAGUUAUUGAGUCCCAGAACGUGAGGCUGCCGUUAGUUUCAGUCUUUGGGAGGAUACAAGGCAGUGAAGGUGUGGAACAAGGAGCAGAAUUAGUAGAAUUCUUAGCAGGAGUGAUGAUCUCUGUGUUGUUCUUGAUUGCUAGGCUUGUU
rnacentral:misc_RNA from 1 species